rnacentral:rRNA from 1 species
GACGAACGCUGGCGGCGUGCUUAACACAUGCAAGUCGAACGGAAAGGCCCUGCUUUUGUGGGGUGCUCGAGUGGCGAACGGGUGAGUAACACGUGAGUAACCUGCCCUUGACUUUGGGAUAACUUCAGGAAACUGGGGCUAAUACCGGAUAGGAGCUCCUGCUGCAUGGUGGGGGUUGGAAAGUUUCGGCGGUUGGGGAUGGACUCGCGGCUUAUCAGCUUGUUGGUGGGGUAGUGGCUUACCAAGGCUUUGACGGGUAGCCGGCCUGAGGGGGUGACCGGCCACAUUGGGACUGAGAUACGGCCCAGACUCCUACGGGAGGCAGCAGUGGGGAAUAUUGCACAAUGAGCGGAAGCCUGAUGCAGCAACGCCGCGUGCGGGAUGACGGCCUUCGGGUUGUAGACCGCUUUCGCCUGUGACGAAGCGUGAGUGGCGGUAAUGGGUAAAGAAGCACCGGCGAACUACGUG